AAUCCUGGCCGCUGAUUUUCUUCUUUGCGGCCUUGAUCACAUUCUCUAUCUUUGUCUCAUAUGCGGCAUUAAUUAGGUCAUCUUAAUUGCCGCUGUCUAUUCAUCAUUAUAGCCGACUUCGGAACUCGUAACCGAUGCGACAGAUAGCCCUUUCUUCUUCCCCAAGUUCCUUUUUGUCUCUUCUAUCUCUUAUAUCUUUUUUUCCAUCUUCUCUUCUUCGUCUCUUUCAUUCUCCUUCGUCUUUUUCAUUCUUCUUAACCGAAUCUUCCGGCUUCUUUUUUCUUUUUGAACAAUGUCUUUAGUUCCUCCUCUUCCUUCUCAUUCGUCUCUUGACUAUACUAUACUCAAACCCUUCGUU
rnacentral:lncRNA from 1 species